GCGGACGUGGCGGAAUUUGGUAGACGCACCGGUCUCAGACGCCGGCGCCUUGCGCAUGUGGGUUCGAGUCCCUCCGUCCGCACCA
rnacentral:tRNA from 2 species